UACGUAGGGGGCUAGCGUUGUCCGGAAUCAUUGGGCGUAAAGAGCGCGUAGGCGGCUCGAUAAGUCCGGUGUGAAAGUCACAGGCUCAACCUGUGAAUGCCGCUGGAAACUGUCUGGCUAGAGUCCGGAAGGGGCGAGUGGAAUUCCUGGUGUAGCGGUGAAAUGCGCAGAUAUCAGGAGGAACACCAAUGGCGAAGGCAGCUCGCUGGGACGGUACUGACGCUGAGGCGCGAAAGCGUGGGGAGCAAACAGG
rnacentral:rRNA from 1 species